CCCAAAACCUAAAACACCAUAAACCUUUCUCUCAGCCAUCUCUCUUAAACAACCACCCUCAGCUUCUCUCUCAACUAAUUCAAUCAUAAUUCUUCAAAACUUUUAACAAAAUUACCUCCACUCUCACUGCCACCACCGCCACCAGAACUGUAAACCGACCACCCACAACCACCGUCUCUCCAACAACCACCCUCAGCCUUCUCUCUCAACCUUCCUUCACCGUCUCUGACCUCCGCCACUAGAACCAACCGACCACCAUCACUCCUUUCCACUCUUCACUUUCUUCAAUCAACAACAACAAUGGCAUCUAUGCCUUGCUCUUUAAACUUCACUUCCCCAUUUUUCAAUUUCUCUAAAUCCAUAGAACCCAGUUCCCUUCUUGUCUCUCGGUUUCUUGUUUUGGAACCAGUUCUGUCAAAUCUCUUUUAGGCUCAUCAAAUUCAGGGCUUUUCCAACAUGGGUUUGCUCUAAAAGUUGGAAUCUUUUCUGGGUUUUCGUCUGAUUCUUGAUCUGAAUUUGGGGUUUUUGCUACAGCUGCCACUGGAAAGACUAUUUAUGAUUUUACUAUAAAGGUAGUGUAGUAGAAUUUAGCCUCUGUGUUCUUUCAUGUCUGCUUUAUUGUUUAAAUAUGUUUUCUUUUGUUUGUGAAUUGCACAUGUUGAUGUGGAUUUCUUGUUGAGAAGUUUGCAAGACUUAUCUUAUGAACAUACUUUGCAUUUGUUUGAUUGAGACCAUUUUCAUCAAUUUCCCAUCUUAAAUUUUGGGAAUUUUCUAGAAGCCUGCAACUAUUUCCAUUUUAGGAGGUUUGUUAAUUUAGAGUUAUCUUGAAGUUUAUUUGGUUCCACAAGAUUUUUUUUUCAAAGAUUUUAUGGGCAAUGUUAUAUUAUAAUGCAAGAUAGGUUAGAAAUUUCUGGUUGUACUCGGGAGGUGGUGGUUACGAAGAUGAUGGUGAUUUCCGGCGGCCGUAGUAGUGGCCGGAUGAGGAUGGUAGAGAAAACCUAGAGAGAGAUAAGGAAUAGAGAGAGAAAGAGAAGAGAGUUGAGAGAGAAGGGGUCAUGAGAAUGAGAGAGAGAGUUGACUGGUAUAUUUAAUUUUUAAUUUAAUUUUAGAUUUUUUUGUUUUAUUUAUUAAAUAAAUUUCAAAUAAAUUGAGUAAAAUUACCAUCUUACCCUCAUGUGCAAGGCACAUGCCAACUUAACUGAAUUUUUUUAAUAAGGUUAGGGACAAAGGACGUAGAGUGUAACGAGAUUUACAAAUAAAGGGUUAUGACUGUAAUUAUUGAAGUUAAAGGUCAUCCAUUGCAAUACAAUACAAACAUAAAGGACAGGACGAAAACUGUAAUUUAUCCUUUUUUUAAUCUACGAAAUAAUGAAUAUAUAUUUAGUUGCUACUAAAAGUAUUUAUUAUGACCUAUCGACAAGAAGUCCAUUGAUAAUCACGUAGUGAUAUUGUUAUCAGUGGUGGUAAUAUUUGGCAUACUCCUCGGUGAAUGUGUUUUUCGUCAUGAAAUAUCACCAAUAAACGAGUGCUGAGUCUUAUGUGGUGAAAGUAUACUAAUUUGUGGUGGAUUGAGUGGUAAGGAAUAUAAACCAAUUUUUGGGCUAGCACAACACGAUAUGGUACUAGUAGCUUGUAUUAAUUGAACCUAAUGAUCCAUUCUUCCUCACCAACAUCCCCAAUCUAGCAUUUUGAUCUUGUUAUUGACCGUAGUUCAUGUUUCUAACUAAUUAAUCAUAUGUAUUUAAGUAUCUCUAGUGAAUAAGUUGAACAAGAAAAAGUGAAAAUAAGAUUUUUGUUCCAUUUCCAUACUCACUUAAAAGUUCCAUACUAAAUUCCUGAAUGUAACAACAUGAUUACACAUAGAUCAUUAUUCUAAAAUGCUUCAAGCAUUAUCAUUCAAACACAAAGUCAAUGUUUUCUCCAUAGGAUCUUAUCCAUAUGGAAAAGUACAACACAAUUAAUUGUAGAGGCUAGCAUUGGGCAAUCUUUGAGAUGGUAUGAGGGUGAGUGGUUUUACCUUCUUUAGUGUUAUGCCAACCUUUUCAGAGAGAUCAUGCUCUUCACCCUUCGGUAAGCUCCAGUUAAAGGAGUGAAGGAGUGAAGCCAAGAUAAACAGCGUCAUUUUCUCAGCCAAGGGUAAACCUGCACACAAUCUUCUCCCCGAACCAAAUGGGAAGAACUUCAAAUUGUUUCCUUUGUAAUCACAUUUUUUUGAACUCUCGUAACUCAAGAACCUCUUAGGAUAGAACUCCAAAGGCUUGUCCCAAUAUCGAGGAUCUCGUUGGAUUGACCAUACAUUCAGGAAUACAGUACAACCCUUUGGAAUUGUAUAUCCACCUACUACACAGUCCUGGCUUGGCGACCGUGGGAGUACGAAAGGGACUACAGGAUGCAACCGUAGUGUCUCCUUAACUACCGCAUCUAGAUAUUUUAGUUGUGAGAGAUGAGUUUCUUCCACAAUGUUGUUUAGACCUACAACUUUUGCUAGUUCUUCUUGAAUUGCAUUCAUCACUUGAUGGUUCAUCAUAAUUUCCGCCAUCACCCAUUCUAUUAGUGUUGAAGUUGUUUCUGUUCCUGCAACCAUAAUGUCCUGAUAAAACAAGAAAAAGAUCCUCACUUUAUUAAUGGAAGGCAACUCAACAUUAAAUAUUGCAACCCACAAUCAUUUAGUAAUAUCUAGGUUUAUAUCUCCUU
rnacentral:lncRNA from 1 species